AUACGGAGGGUGCAAGCGUUACGCGGAAUCACUGGGCGUAAAGCGCGCGCAGGCGGCUAUUUAAGUUGGAUGUGAAAGCCUAUGGCUCAACCAUAGAACUGCAUCCAAAACUAUUUAGCUAGAGUGUGGGAGAGGAAGAUGGAAUUAGUUGUGUAGGGGUAAAAUCCGUAGAGAUAACUAGGAAUACCAAAAGCGAAGGCAAUCUUCUGGAACACUACUGACGCUGCGGCGCGAAAGCGUGGGGAGCAAACAGGAUUAGAAACCCUAGUAGUCC
rnacentral:rRNA from 1 species